CUGCCAGCAGCCGCGGUAAUACGAUAGGGAAGAUAGAACGAACGCUGGCGGCAAGCCUAACACAUGCAAGUCGAACGGACAAUUGCUUAUAACCUUUUGGUUAUAAAUAAUUGUUAGUGGCAGACGGGUGAGUAAUGCGUAGGAAUCUACCUAGUAGUAUGGAAUAGCCAUUAGAAAUGAUGGGUAAUACUGUAUAAUCCCUGCGGGGGAAAGAUUUAUCGCUAUUAGAUGAGCCUACGUUAGAUUAGCUAGUUGGUAAGGUAAUGGCUUACCAAGGCUAUGAUCUAUAGCUGGUCUGAGAGGACGAUCAGCCACACUGGAACUGAGAUACGGUCCAGACUCCUACGGGAGGCAGCAGUGGGGAAUAUUGGACAAUGGGCGAAAGCCUGAUCCAGCUAUGCCGCGUGAGUGAAGAAGGCCUUCGGGUUGUAAAACUCUUUCAAUAGGGAAGAUAAUGCCCGGGUACCUAUAAA
rnacentral:rRNA from 1 species